AGUGAACGCUGGCGGUAGGCCUAACACAUGCAAGUCGAACGGCAGCACAGUAAGAGCUUGCUCUUACGGGUGGCGAGUGGCGGACGGGUGAGGAAUACAUCGGAAUCUACUUUUUCGUGGGGGAUAACGUAGGGAAACUUACGCUAAUAUCGCAUACGACCUACGGGUGAAAGCAGGGGAUCUUCGGACCUUGCGCGAUUGAAUGAGCCGAUGUCGGAUUAGCUAGUUGGCGGGGUAAAGGCCCACCAAGGCGACGAUCCGUAGCUGGUCUGAGAGGAUGAUCAGCCACACUGGAACUGAGACACGGUCCAGACUCCUACGGGAGGCAGCAGUGGGGAAUAUUGGACAAUGGGCGCAAGCCUGAUCCAGCCAUACCGCGUGGGUGAAGAAGGCCUUCGGGUUGUAAAGCCCUUUUGUUGGGAAAGAAAAGCAGCAGGUUAAUACCCCGCUGUUCUGACGGUACCCAAAGGAUAAGCACCGGCUAACUUCGUG
rnacentral:rRNA from 1 species